rnacentral:lncRNA from 1 species
UCUCUCAGAGCCCAGAUCUGUUCCUUUCUUCUUAAUUAUCCAUGUGCUCAAUUCUCUCCCACAGGAGCUGAAGAAUUCACAUUUGGGCUGAUGGGCCUGGGGUAGGGAAGACCAACAGACCACAUGCUUCUUGUCUCUUCUACUCCCUGAUCCUGUGAUAGGCAGGGCUAAGUGAUCGUCCGCUCCUCUCACCCUCCAGCCUCCAAGUGGGCCACUUUUCAAGCAUGGAAUUCUAGGAGGUGUUAACACUGGACGAGCGGGCAACUGGCUCUUCAGGCUUGGAACCAACAGGGGGCAGCAGAGAGCAGAGAAGAAUUGGUAGGCUAGGAAAACUUCCAAACUUC